rnacentral:rRNA from 1 species
AGAGUUUGAUCCUGGCUCAGGAUGAACGCUAGCGGCAGGCUUAACACAUGCAAGUCGAGGGGUAGCAGGAUUUAGUUUACUAGAUUGCUGACGACCGGCGCACGGGUGAGUAACGCGUAUACAAUUUGCCUUUUACUGGAGGAUAGCCAAGAGAAAUUUUGAUUAAUACUCCAUAGUAUUAUUUGAUCACCUGGUCGAGUAAUUAAAGCUCCGGCGGUAAAAGAUGAGUAUGCGUUCUAUUAGCUAGAUGGUAAGGUAACGGCUUACCAUGGCGACGAUAGAUAGGGGUCCUGAGAGGGAGAUCCCCCACACUGGUACUGAGACAUGGACCAGACUCCUACGGGAGGCAGCAGUGAGGAAUAUUGGGCAAUGGAGGCAACUCUGACCCAGCCAUGCCGCGUGCAGGAAGACGGCCCUAUGGGUUGUAAACUGCCGUUUAUACCCGAAGAAACUUAUCCCCGUGUGGGAUAACUGACGGGUACUGGUGGGAUAAAGGACGAGCUGAAUCCGUGGCCCAGCCCGCCGGGUAUAAAGGCGGG